rnacentral:lncRNA from 1 species
AACAUUUGUAAAAAAAUAUAAUAACAUAAAUUAACUAUGAGUUGAAUACAAAUAAAUGUUAUUGUUUUUUCAUAGUUUAUAGUUAUUUAUAUUUUGUUAUUAACAGUUAAUACUAUUUACUAUUAAAUUAUUUAUUUAUUGUUAUAUUAAUUUAAUAAUAUUAUUAUUAUUAUAUGCGCUCGUCAAGUAUAAUUGGCCUCGCUCUGCCACU